rnacentral:tRNA from 1 species
UAGGUAUUAGUUAAAAUUAAUAACCUUUAAAUUGCAAUUAAAAAUUGAUUAAAUUAAAAGUCAUACCUUC